rnacentral:rRNA from 1 species
AGGACUAACGCUGGCGGCGUGCCUAACACAUGCAAGUCGAACGGGGUAGCAAUACCCAGUGGCAGACGGGUGAGUAACACGUGGUCAACCUACCUCUGUGUGGGGGAUAACUAGCCGAAAGGUUAGCUAAUACCGCAUACGAUCGUUUUGAGGCAUCUCGAGACGAUGAAAGGAGCAAUCCGCACGGAGAGGGGACUGCGUCCCAUUAGUUAGUUGGUGGGGUAACGGCCUACCAAGACUCCGAUGGGUAGCUGGCUUGAGAGAGCGACCAGCCACACUGGAACUGAGAAACGGUCCAGACUCCUACGGGAGGCAGCAGUGAGGAAUUUUCCGCAAUGGGCGAAAGCCUGACGGAGCGACGCCGCGUGUGGGAUGAAGGCCUUCGGGUCGUAACCACUGUCGAAGGGGACGAUAAUGACGGUACCCUUGGAGGAAGCCCGGCUAACUACGUGCCAGCAGCCGC